rnacentral:lncRNA from 1 species
GGAAAAAAUAUGUUUUGAAGGGAUUUUGUUAUAUUUGGAGUUUUAUACAAAAAUAAAGGAGUUUUGGAAGCUAAGACAAGAAUCAUAUAAAGGUUUAAGCUACACUCUCUACAGCUAGAUACCUAGUAUAUUCUUAAAUAGCAAAUCACAUCAUAUGACAACGUGUUACAACUCUAUUUAGAAAUGAACACUUUUGUUGUUUGCCUUGUAUAUAACCUUCACAAGCAUGUGUAUGAUUGCUCGUUUUACUUAUUCCAAAUUAAUCUAAUGGAAAUAAACCGAUAUGAGGGGAUUCGAACAUGAAGAAUGACUAGUUGCUUAAGCAUUCACGUUAGGGUCACAUAAUCAAUUACCUCCUGAAUGUAUCGUCUCUAUUUCUAAUAUGUGAACAUACAAGGAAACUAUAAUCUCCUCCUUCACCUUAUCGGUCUCUUCCUUACAGCAAUUCAAUUAUAUCAAUAAUUGCUAUUUCCACCAAUAUAUUCACCUUCAUAAUCUCCGACUGUAAUACUGUGCCC